AUGAACGCUAGCUACAGGCUUAACACAUGCAAGUCGAGGGGCAGCAUGAACUUAGCUUGCUAAGUUUGAUGGCGACCGGCGCACGGGUGAGUAACACGUAUCCAACCUGCCGAUGACUCGGGGAUAGCCUUUCGAAAGAAAGAUUAAUACCCGAUGGCAUAGUUCUUCCGCAUGGUAGAACUAUUAAAGAAUUUCGGUCAUCGAUGGGGAUGCGUUCCAUUAGGUUGUUGGCGGGGUAACGGCCCACCAAGCCUUCGAUGGAUAGGGGUUCUGAGAGGAAGGUCCCCCACAUUGGAACUGAGACACGGUCCAAACUCCUACGGGAGGCAGCAGUGAGGAAUAUUGGUCAAUGGACGAGAGUCUGAACCAGCCAAGUAGCGUGAAGGAUGACUGCCCUAUGGGUUGUAAACUUCUUUUAUACGGGAAUAAAGUGAGGCACGUGUGCCUUUUUGUAUGUACCGUAUGAAUAAGGAUCGGCUAACUCCGUGCCAGCAGCCGCGGUAAUACGGAGGAUCCGAGCGUUAUCCGGAUUUAUUGGGUUUAAAGGGAGCGUAGGCGGACGCUUAAGUCAGUUGUGAAAGUUUGCGGCUCAACCGUAAAAUUGCAGUUGAUACUGGGUGUCUUGAGUACAGUAGAGGCAGGCGGAAUUCGUGGUGUAGCGGUGAAAUGCUUAGAUAUCACGAAGAACUCCGAUUGCGAAGGCAGCUUGCUGGACUGUAACUGACGCUGAUGCUCGAAAGUGUGGGUAUCAAACAGGAUUAGAUACCCUGGUAGUCCACACAGUAAACGAUGAAUACUCGCUGUUUGCGAUAUACAGUAAGCGGCCAAGCGAAAGCGUUAAGUAUUCCACCUGGGGAGUACGCCGGCAACGGUGAAACUCAAAGGAAUUGACGGGGGCCCGCACAAGCGGAGGAACAUGUGGUUUAAUUCGAUGAUACGCGAGGAACCUUACCCGGGCUUGAAUUGCAACUGAAUGAUGUGGAGACAUGUCAGCCGCAAGGCAGUUGUGAAGGUGCUGCAUGGUUGUCGUCAGCUCGUGUCGUGAGAUGUUGGGUUAAGUCCCGCAACGAGCGCAACCCCUAUCCUAUGUUACCAGCAAGUAAAGUUGGGGACUCAUGGGAGACUGCCAGGGACAACCUGGAGGAAGGCGGGGAUGACGUCAAGUCAUCAUGCCCCUUAUGUCUUGGGCUACACACGUACUACAAUGGCGUUUAACAAAGAGAAGCAAGACCGCGAGGUGGAGCAAAACUCAAAAACAACGUCUCAGUUCAGAUUGCAGGCUGCAACUCGCCUGCAUGAAGUCGGAAUUGCUAGUAAUCGCGGAUCAGCAUGCCGCGGUGAAUACGUUCCCGGGCCUUGUACACACCGCCCGUCACACCAUGGGAGUCAGUAACGCCCGAAGUCAGUGACCUAACCGCAAGGGAGGAGCUGCCGAAGGCGGGACCGAUGACUGGGGUG
rnacentral:rRNA from 1 species